AGCAGCCGCCACGGGAAUACGUAGGUGGCAAGUGUUGUCCGGAAUUAUUGGGCGUAAAGGGCUCGCAGGCGGUUUCUUAAGUCUGAUGUGAAAGCCCCCGGCUCAACCGGGGAGGGUCAUUGGAAACUGGGAAACUUGAGUGCAGAAGAGGAGAGUGGAAUUCCACGUGUAGCGGUGAAAUGCGUAGAGAUGUGGAGGAACACCAGUGGCGAAGGCGACUCUCUGGUCUGUAACUGACGCUGAGGAGCGAAAGCGUGGGGAGCGAACAGGAUUAGAUACCCGAGUAGUCCCUGUCUCUUAUAC
rnacentral:rRNA from 1 species